CCAGUGUAGAUAUCCCUGAGCACUCAUUCUCCCUGGGCCCUGUCCAGGCGCCACAGGGGAGCACGGGGCUCUGACUGUUAUACACAGCCCCUUUCCACAAUGUCGGAGAGAACGCCAGGCCUUGAGUCUGACUGCAUAUUCCUGUAGCUUCUCAGAGUCCUGGACAAUGAUUGAGGAGACAAACCAUAAAGGGAACAUCU